UAAGCCUGAAAGCUAGGUUUCAGUCGUGAGCCAUGUGGAACACGUCUGCAUCGAAAUGGGAGCCGGGUCCUGCUGCGACUGGGGACAGCAAUACCGUAAUGAGGAUGGCACCAGUAUAAAGCAACACACUCCAUGCACUAAACAGAAGCUGCUGCCUGCUACAACAAGGUCAUUGUGUGGACUUUGGCUGCUACUACAAGAGUCUGUGCCAAGUACAUCUUGGUCAUCACGGGAGCCCCCAUCUACACCAACAGGAAGGGGCUGGAGCUGAAUUCACAAGACCACGAACAAAGAAGCCAUUCCAGAAUUAUUUGGAUGAGAUAUCAAGUCUACGGACGACUGUUUCAAGAGUGAAAAGAGCCUACGCCAUCAUUCCACCAGCACGGAUAUUGGCCGAGUCAUCCAGGUACCUCAACAACAAAAAUUAUUUGUCUUCAGAUGUACCUGCAACCUCUGAACAAGCACAGACGACGCUGGCUAAGAGUGUUCUGUCAGCUUGCCCUUCCUUAGGGAGCUCCCUGGCCUUGCCAAUUCUUGCCAAGCAUAAUUUUGUUUCAAUGAAUGCACGCUUCUUCAUUCCACACUUUUGUUAGAGAUCAUUCCUAUUCCUCAUACAAACAUUAAAGGUCAACCGAUUCUUUGCUCAUACUUAAUGCCAGUCACUGUCUAGUAGCAUAACAUAUGUGUAGCAGUUCUUUCUAGUGUAUGUUGCCAUGUGCAAUUCCUCUCCUGAAAUAGCUGAUGCGGCAUUGGCAUAUGUCUUGCAUUAACCUUUACACUGUGUGCUAUGUAGCAUUUAACUUUUGUUAAUGUUUUUGGCUUUCAAUGCUUGCAAGGUAGAGUGGCUUCUUUCUUGAAUGCAAGCUUUCUCAUUCCCAUAUUGAAUUCCUAGUCUCAUUCAGGAUUGCUAUUCUUGCUCGACAGCCUGUGUUUUUGUGCAAGCUACAUUGAAGAGAUUGAUUGCAGAAUAUGGUUUCGGCGCUGUGCGACUUGGUACUUGUCACCGUGUUACGUUUCUCAUAUGUGGGAGCCUGGUCAGUUGCAUUGGGAAACAGUCUCUCGAGGCAAGCACCUGCUCCUACAGUCUGCACAGUGACAUAUACUGCGAAUUUACACGCACCGUGGUUGGUGCUCCCCGUUCCGUCCUUUCCUGCUGCUGCCGUGUGCAAAUUUUGCUUGUGGCCUUCCUCAGCCAUGAUUUGGCGUCAACGGAGACUCUCAUACAUAAUUACAUGGUUCUAAGUGUAUGAAGUUGAUAUCCACAUUUGUGGAAAGGCCUGCAAAAUAGUUAUGUCCACAAAACCGACCAUGUCCAUAUAUGGAGAAUGUGGCGGACCAAGUGUG